CUCUUUCUACGACCAAGAUGUCCACAAGCUACACGGGGAUUCCUCUUUCUUUUUCCCCCACGCGAAUUAGGGAGACUCUGCAGAUUGGCCUUGGUUUGGUUUCGGAUUCAGGUUUGAUCCAACCCUAAUCCAAAUCGUCUUAUUUGGCAAGGAUUUGAUUGAUCAACAACUUGUUGGGGAACGCACUAAUUUCAAAAAAAUUAUACGCCCAACAAGGAUCUAUCUAUGGAGAAACCAGCAACGA